GGAUCCCGGCGCGCCUCGGAGAGGGAUGGGUGUCCCUCUGGGCCGCCUGGAAUUUCCAGUUCUGAAUUCGCUCCCAACCAGGUUACCUCCAGGCCGAGUGCUGCAGGUUUGUAGCGAAAUCGAGUGAACUUUCCUGAGUUCGCCGGGUACAAGGGACUAACCUUUGGCAGCACCAGACCGCCGCUUCCCUGUACCCUGUCCCCACCGCGAGCCUAAAGGCCAUGGAAUUUUUGUGCAUCCACAUCUUCAUUUUCUCACUUAUUAGGUAACCGACUCAGUGGAGCACAAACAUGUUUAAAGCUCUCUGUCCUUGAGAUCUGACUUUAUCUUUCACGGACCUCACCCAAGGGCGUUUACCUGGCUCAGACCUGCCUGGUCUUCCUUCCCUCUCUCAGGAGGUCAGGGCCUGUUCUGCCUAGUCCCAGACCAAUGUGGAGGAAGCUCUUGGCAGAUUUGUAUUUCAAACAUCUCACACUCGUAAAACGAAAUGUUCCACUCUUGUGCGUACUUGGAAAAAAACCACAUGCACACUUGGCUGAUUUGUGACUCAAAGUACUCGAUGACGAGUCCCUUUAUUUUUCUGCAAAAUGAAAAAAUAAUUAAGGAUAACGCAAAAUUCUCAUGUUUUGAAGACGUUUCAUUUACAACUAAUGCGAGGUAGAAUACUGGCUCCCGUCGUUACUGCGUUCAUUACUGUGUCAACAGACGGCCCCCUUGGACAAAUGUGUUAUCUUGUAUCCUUCCACCCCAUUCUGUCCUGGUUCAUCCAGAGUUGUGGGUGUGCUCUAGAAUGUUACAGCUGUGUCAGCUCUGCCUUGGGCCAACCCUGAAAAAAGUGGGUUCAGUCUGAGAUCUUUGGGGAUUUGGCCCUGCUCAAGGAGGGAGUUGGGUAUUUCCAUAGAAUGUCAGAUCAUAAGUCCCAGGGAAACAGCCCAAGAUCUCCAAAUCCUUCUGUUCAUGUAUUUCAGAAGCAUCCUGGGCUGAGAUAGAAACCCAGGCCAGACUUUGAGUUUGCUUUGGGUAUUCAGAAAUUCCUGUCAAAAUGAAAUCUGCUCAACCAAGAGGAGGAUGAGUUAGGUUCCAGUUCUGGUGAGUUUUAACAGUAGCUAACCAUACUUGCAGCAACUUAUUUAAACUCCUGGGUCGCCCUUGUGCAGGCAUCGGCUCUGUGAGGUUGACUCUAUGGACUGGACUUUCAUAGUAUCUAAUGUUAUCUAAUUCCUCAAAGUCAACGACUGCUUCCAGCUCCCUAGUUUAAUAGGUUCCCUGAGACAUUACAGUUGAAGACUAAGUAUUUCUGGAAGCAAGAUCUGGAGGAUUAUAAAUAAUUAUAUGUACAUCCUUCCUACUUCGUUCUGUGUUAAAAUAAGAUGGUAGAAAAAUACUCAAGGCAUUUUGCAGUAGAUGAUAGAGAAGAAUCUGGCUGUCAUUAUACUCCGGGGGGAAAAAAGGAAUUACAGAAGAAAAUAAAACAAAAUUCUUCGUGAACAACACUACUGAACAGACUAGGAAGCUGAGGCAAAGGAUGAACAAAUGAGGUUGACAAAACUAGAAAUCCUCCCCGCCCCAGGAUUUCUAUUUUGAAAGACUCAUGAAUAAAAGACCAUUCAUUAUUUUGUGUACUUGCAGUGAGCAACAGUUUAAAAUCAGUUGGCAACCGGUCUGGGAAUAAUCUCCUGGUUUUUUUUCUCCAUUUUAUCUCAUGUGUCUACAGAACUGUGUAGUGCACAACAGCAGGGAUAAUAAAGACGCUGGAGCAAGACCAAACAUAGCAAAUCCAGUCUUGUGAUUUAGAAAAGGUUGCCCGUUGACCCUGAAAACUUAGGAGCCAGGGAGGAGGAGAGUCCAUGACUCAACAAAAGAAAGUUAAAAACAUAGUUAUAAGUUACUAUUAACUACCAAAUGUAAAGGGAGUCUUAGAGGACCUUUGUUUUCCUUUUUGACGUUGAGUUUGAGAGAGCAAGAUGAAUCUGAUUCCAGCUCUGCAUAUCACCAGCAACCAUGUUUGUUUUUAUGCUUACCAAAGGAGGGAGGAAAAAAUGGAAGUGGGGAACUGAAUUCUAAAAUAUUUUAAUAGAUUUGCAUUAUGUGCUUCAACAGGGAUUUUUUUUUUCUUUUUAGGUUCUUUACAUCUCUAUUCUGUCUGUUCUUUCUCAAGGAAACAAUUCCUUAUUCAGAGAAAUUUCUUGUGGUUUUACAGAAUGAUUGGAAAACUUUAUUUUAUUUUAUUUUUCACAAGUAUAGGGUCCUUGGUGAAACAACGUCACUGAAUAAGCCCUUUGAAAUGUGCUCCUGUUGCCUCUUCUCUUAACCCAAUGUGUGAGUUUAGCUGGUCAUCUUGUGGCUUUGUCUGAACUUUCAUAAAAGAAGUGUUUCUUCUAGGUGAGAGCUUUGAAGGCUUUGACUGACCUCUUCAGAGACUUAAGCACUGUUUAUUUUUCUUACCGACUUCCUAUUUCAAUAUUAUAUAUGCUUUUCAAUUAUUUUAAUUUAUUUUAUAUAAAUUAUUUUCAUGUAAUUUUAAAAUAAUUUAUCAUUAUUUUCCUUGAACUAGCAGAUGCAUUUUUUUUUCUUUUUCAAAUCUUGGGCUCUAUAAUAUCCCGAGACCCUUUAGGAAUUAUCCUAAUAACAAAUGCAGAUCUCUUUUGAUUUGACUGGCUGUGGCACUUGGGAUUUUUGUUUUGCUUUGUGAAAAGACUGGAUAUGCUCUGCACUGAUGAAAGAGAGGGAGAAGCUGGGUGAGCCACCAUGCCGGGCCCCCAGCGUUAGUUUUAUGAAGAAUUGGACUGUGUAUAACAGAAACAAACACAUACAUACUGCAAACUUGGAGUCUUAAUGGUAUUUAAUCAAAAGCAAUUCAAUUCACUGUUUAAAAACCUUUGCCACAUUACCUAUUCACUUUAUAAAAAUCACGUUCAUCAUCAUGGAGAUGAAAAAGGUUCCUUGUUAAUGGCGAGUAAGUGGGUGGCUGCAGAAGACUGUGCAAAGAUACAGACAUAAAGGAAGAGAGAAAUUGGGCAGAGAGGGCGUGGGGUAUGGGAAGUAGAAGAAAGGACACAUGUCAUUAAGAACAAGUCGUUCUGUGAAACAGGAAUUUGAACUAAUAAAUCCUGUUGUCUAAUGGAAUGCACCCAAGAAGAAAAUAAACAGCUCAGUUGGUUGAAGACAGAUUUCUAAGAAGUUUUUCUUAUUGAGUACCCAAGGGAAAGCCAGUAUUUCAGAAGCUCUGGUGUCCAUGGUCAAAUGGUAUUUUCAAACAACUGUGGAGAGAAGUCAAGAUGCAUACACUUGGAGUCAUUAAAUAAUGAGGAAGACAAGGUGGUGAGAAAUCAUUGCUAAACUGCAGUUCACCCCGUGCCUGCCAACAGAUACAGAGCAGACAAGCUUGUGUUCCUGAGGUUACGCUGCUCUCAUUUAGAGCACCACUAAGCCAAAUGAAGAAUAUUACUUAUAUAUAGCAGACUCUUCCUCAGGGAGGAACCCGAGGAAAGUCACAAAAAAAGUAGAGGAAGCCGAAAGAGUGUUUUUAGUCUCACACAUCCUGUACUUUUUUUUCAGCUGCUAUUUUGAAAGAUAAACAUUACAUUUGUGGUUGAGUCGUCUUCCAGGUUAGAGAAAACAAAACAAUAUGGUUGUGAAAAGAAGAGGCCUGUGAUGGAGCUAAUGACCUUGGAAAGGCAGACUGCUUUCCUGGUUUUCAAAACAAAACAAACCAAAACAAACCAUUUUUAAAAAGUGGUUGAACAACGGUAAAGCCCUUGCAUCUAUCUCCAGUGCCCCUAGGCCCCCAGCUGGUUCUAGAGUGACCUAGACACAAAGAUGCUCUGUCCAGUGUGAGCAGAGGAAUGGCAUGCCGUCCCUGUAUAGCCAAUUCCACCUUCAGCUUUCAUUCGAUUGGCAUUUUGUAGGCAGGAAGUUGUGUUCAACUCAGGUUUUAUUGAAACUAGGGCAUUUCUAUAUUCUUCUUAAUUUGAAAAUGAAAGCAAAUUUUAUUUAGGAAGCUAGUGGAGUUUUCUUGUGGGUUUGAAGGCAAUCUCACUUUACCAAUGGGUCAAUUCCAUAGAUCCUUUUGUUUCCUAUUAGAUACCAAAAGUGGCUCCUACUUACUAUAUCCAAAACCCUGCUGUCAUCACACAGGGCACCGCUAAAGCCUAUAGUCAGCUGAGAGAUCAGAGAAUUUGAGAGGAAGAAACCAACCUAUAUGGCAUUAGUAGAGCAGUGGGUGGAAAUGCCUGCUGGUCUAGAUAUUAUUGGGCCUCCUUGAGAAAUUACUCAAUAUGACUGAUAACAUGUGUUGAAAGGUGUUGCAGAGUGGCUUCCUUUAUACAGUCUACAGUGGAAUUGACUUGUAAUGGUGCCAUUAGGUCGGAAUUGGAAGACAGAUAGGGAUCCAGAAGACCCCAGAUGCAUGAUUCUUAAACCUCCCAAUAAUAAAAUAUAUUGUUGAUUGGCAUUGUGUUAGGAUUCCUAUGGCUGCUCUAACAAAUUAUCACAAAUUUUGUGGCUUAAAACAACUGAAAUUUAUUCUCUCACAGUUCUGGAGGCAAGAAGUCCUAAAUCAGUGUCACCAGGCAGAAAUCAAGGUACUGGCAGAGCUGUCCUCCCUCCAGAUGCUCCAGGUGAGAAUCUGUUCUCUGCCUUUUCCAGUUUCUGACAUUCUUUGGUUUGUGGCUUUAUCACUUCAUUCACUCCAUCUUCAAAUUUUUCUCUGCUCCUUCACAUCAUCCUCUCUCUCUCAAUCUCUCUCUCUCUCUCUCUCUGUGUCUGUGUGUGUGUGUGUGUGUGUGUGAGAGAGAGAGAGAGAAAGAGAGAGAGAGAGAGAUCUCCCUCUCCUUCUCUCUUAUAAGGACAUUUAUAAUGACAUUUACAGCUCACUGGAUAAUCCUGGAUAAUCUCCCCAUGUCAAGAUUCUUAAUCACAUCUGCAAAGACCCUUCUUCUAUGUAAGGUAAUGUUUAUAGUUUCUGGGGAUUAGAACCUUAUAUCUUUGGGAUCAUCAUUCAGCCUACUAUAGGCAUGCACUCUGUUCUCUCUCACAUACAUAGUAACACUCGAUAUAUAUACUAGGAGUCAUCACUGGACGACUUGGAGAACACUAACUAAUAAGUGCUUAUUUUGAGCACCUGCUCUGUGCUGAGCUCUGUCCAAGUUGCAGCAACAAAACAAAGGAAGUGUGAAACACAACCUCUGCCUUGAAGUAAAAGACAAAUAUGGUUGGAAGAAAAGACUCAUACACAAGUGACAUAAAUAGAAACUCUACAAAACAGAAGAUAGUCAUAUAGUAUAGAUUAUAAAUGCUAUGAGUUCAAAUAAAGGAGAUCUUUAUUUAAAAAGAAUAGAAAAUAUUAGCAAUUUUAAAGCCUGCAGUUUUUCAGAGACAAUCUACAUUUUUCACUAUUUGGGGAGUUCCAUAUAAAAUUACUUGUAACACCUACAAGGCACAAGUGAAUAAAAAACUGGAUGAUUAAAUAACCUUAGUGGUAUUAUUGACUUUUGCAAAAGCUUGAAGCAGUAUCUUAUAUCCAACUGGUCAUCUUUGUUAUUAAUUAUAAUUGGAUGUUGAUGAUACUCUGUAUUGAAGAACAAAUUGGUUUGUAGAAGAUGAAUUUCUUUCUUUUUUUUUUUUUGAGACAGGGUCUCACUCUGUUGCCCAGGCUGGAGUGCUGUGGUGCUAUCACAGCUCACUGAAGCCAUGACCUCCCAGCCUCAGGUGAUCCUCCCCGCUCAGCCUCAUGAGUAGCUGGGACUACAGGCACAUGCCACCAUGCCCAGCUAAUUUUUUGUAAUUUUCUUUGUAGCGACGGGGUUUUGCCAUGUUGCCCAGGCUGGUCUUGAGCUCCUGGGCUCAAUCUAUCCACCCACCUUGGCCUCCUAAAGCGAUAGGCUUAAAGGUGCAAACCACCACGCCCAGCCGGAAUCAGAACUAUCGAUAAAAUGGGGCAUAUUACCAGAAACAAGAUGUAUAUGCUUGAAAGUGUUCAGUGGGCAUUGUGGUGGAUGUUCAAACACUCAUUCCAGUCCAAUUAUAUUGCCACGUAUUUGUUUCUGUAUUGGGUACCUACAAGGAGGAGAUAGUCCCUUCUUCCUCUAGACUUUGCCAUAUCUGGAUAUGAUGCUUGGGAUUACUUAGCCACUUUGCUACCAAUAUUUGCAAAUCUAAGAGCUGGAUAGAACUUGGUGUAUGAUGGCAUUACUGAAAGGAUAUAUUGAGCAACUGCAGAUUUUGCCCUGUUCAGACCUCUUAUUAACUGAGUUAAGACAAUUCCUUCUUCUUUAAAUCAGUCUUUAUUUGGUUUCCUAAUAUUGUACUACACAGAAUCUUAACUGAUACAAAGUAUAAAAAUAAAGAAACCGUAUAUGUCUUAAUGCAAUUUUAAAAAGAGAAAGCAACAAAAUACAGAAUUUAUAUGAAAAUAUGUAACUGCUAGGAAUGGUUAACUCUUAAAUGGGAUUUAUUUGGUAUUUAUUAUAGGUUGGACAUUGGACUAAAUUCUUUAUAUAUACUAACUAAUUUAAUCUUUACAGUACUUCUAAUUAGGUGGUUACCAUUAUCAUCCCCAUUUAGGAGAUGACAAAGUAUCUGCUGUUAAUUUGCUAGUAAUUGGCAGAGCCAGGAUUAGACCCCAGGCAGUCAAAUUCUAGACUCUAAUUCCAGGCACUGUAAUUCCAGUGCUCUAAUGCAUUAUGCUAGACUGCCUCUUGCUUCUUUAUUCCUCUCUGAUUUUUUUUUUAAGUGGCUAUUGGGCCAGGUGCUAUGGCUCAUGCCUGUAAUCCCAGCACUUUGGGAGGCUGAGGUGGGUGGAUCAUGACGUCACAAGUUCGAGACCAGCCUGGCCAAUAUG
rnacentral:lncRNA from 1 species